rnacentral:rRNA from 1 species
CCUACGGGAGGCAGCAGUGGGGAAUCUUGGUCAAUGGGCGCAAGCCUGAACCAGCGACGCCGCGUGAGUGAUGAAGGCCUUAGGGUUGUAAAGCUCUUUUACCCGGGAUGAUAAUGACAGUACCGGGAGAAUAAGCUCCGGCUAACUCCGUGCCAGCAGCCGCGGUAAU